CCCCCUCGAAUCUUAUUGGCUCUCUUGUUGAAACAGGCCCUGAAGAUUUAUGUUAUACAACGUUUGACAUGUUUGAACGAACCUAAAUAAGAAAAAAAUGCAUUUUGUUGACAGAGUAGCCCCGCGCUCUUCGGAACUUUUGGUGCAGCCUUCAGAACGCGCUAACAACAACAAGCUAAUGGAACAUAAAGGAUGAACUUUUUCGACCGAAAAUACAUCUGUUGUGGACCUGGGAUUCCUGGAAGUGCUUUCUGAUGAAGACAACUAAAGCAAGUCCCGCACGACAUGUGAAGGAAGCAUAUGCAAGAGGAAUAGUUUCCUUCUUUCCGUACCUGGCCGACCCCAAAAGCAAGACUGACUAUGCUGUGACAGUGACAUGUCGUCCAUUCUUCUUAUCAUCCAUCUUCUGCCUCCCUCCUCUCAAGGCCGCAACAAGCCGGGAAAGAUGUCAGCAAGACACGCAGCUGAACAUCUUGUGAAGUUCAUGAAGGUAAUGGCUUCCUGAAGUUCUCCAAGCAGCUGAUUGGUCAGCCCCAUUGCUGAUUGGAGAGCUGACCCCGCCCCCUCGUCAGGACGCAGCUGUCUCAAUUAACAACCCCAAUAUAAGCCAGUGUGCUGUUGCUCAGAGAAAGAGAGAGACACAGAGAUUUUUGCUGAGAGAGGAGGUUGAUGGCAGAG
rnacentral:lncRNA from 1 species